GCGUUCAUAGCUCAGUAGGAUAGAGCGACAGUUUCCUAAACUGCAGGUCGGGGGUUCAAUUCCCUCUGGGCGCACCA
rnacentral:tRNA from 2 species